rnacentral:miRNA from 2 species
CCUGCAUUGUACACACUGUGU